UCUUCACGAUUUGUCGUGUCCGUCUCUUAGGGUUCUGUCGUAUCCUCGAAGCUUUGAUAAGUUCCAGCAACAAUGGUAUUUCUGAAUGUCGAGUGAGACGAGUCGUUGUGAAGAAGCUCUGUGUCAAGCUUCGAUUCGUCGUUUCGUCUUUGGUUCUUAUUCCCCGAGACGUUACGAGAUUUCUUGAUUCAUCGCCUUUAAGAAACUUCUUAACUCCCUUAAGCACGAUGUCUCAUUCAAUGCUCUCUUAGAGGCGGCGUAUCUCCACCUACAAAAAGACUUUUAAAUCGAGUUCAGACAUUGAAACCGAACUCAAAGUUGAUCUCAGCUGAUAAUGGCAAGGAGACUCCAACUUCGUUGACUCAUACAACUUCCAAUUCAAAGAGAGAUUGUUGGACCCAAGAGAAGCAAGCAGGAUCAAGCUGGAAGAAAUAAAAACUUAAUGGAGACGUGUAUAUGGGAUAUCACGGUGUUGAAGGUGAUUCUUAGAUGCAUCAACGUGGUUAGCUCCUACACGAUCGUGAGCCAGGGAGAUUAAUCCAAGUUCAUAUUGAUACAGUAUGUUGUUAUACGCUGGUGAUACAGUAUGUUGUUAUACGCUGGUAAAGGACAUCUGAAGUACUUCUACAAUCCUAUGUAUACACAUAAAAAGUUGGUUAGUAUCAGUUUGAGUGGUACUCCAUCAGGUACGUUUAUUCUCGGACACCAAUCUUUUACCUUUUGCAUGAUCUUUCAGUGGCUCUUCUCUGAGAUCCAUGCAACAGAACGACUGCUGCAGAGGCUCUGUACAUCCCGUUCUUUCAGUGGAUUUAUACAGAUUCAACCCCAAGUGUGGCCCGAGAUAUUCCCCCUGAAACGAGGAUACUAAUGGGAUAUGGUGUUGUAGUCGGAUUUUCGGAAUACUUUAAGUUGAGUAGCGGUAUGAACUAGA